GGGCUUUAAGACUCUUGUCCUAGCUGCUUGGAAGCCAGUCUUCUCCUAUCAGCCUUCAGAUGAAGAUGUAGAACUCCCAGGUCUGCCUGCUUGGAUGUUGCCAUGUUCCUGCCUUGAUGAUAUGGGCUGAACCUCUGAAUUUAUACAACGUUACCAGCCAUCUUAUGCUCGCUACAGCAUCGCUGCCAGGAUGGACAAUUCCUAUAAAGGACUAACCAAAGCAAACGUUCCUUCCAUUGAAUUGCUACUAGUCAGCUUAGUAAACAUCAACUCUUAGAGGCAGUGAAAGUUUUCCUUGAAAAGACACUUCAAAUUCAGGUCUCUCAAAUUAAAAAGUGAACACCAAGUUCAAAUUUGACAUCAAAAAAAUUCCGUCUUAGUUAUGGCUUUACUGCUGUGAACAGACCCCAUGACCAAGGCAACUCUUAUAAGGACAACAUUUAAUUGGGGGCUGGCUUACAGAUUUAGAGGUUCAGUCCAGUAUCAUCAAGGCAAGAACAUGGCAGCAUCCAGGCAGGCAUGCUGCAGGAGGAACUGAGAGUUCUACAUCUUCAUCUGAAGGCUGCUAGGAGAAGACUCACUUCCAGGCAGUUAGGGAAGAGCCCACACCCACCGUGACACACCUACUCCAACAAGGCUACACCUCCUAAUAGUGUGAACAA
ensembl:lncRNA